rnacentral:rRNA from 1 species
CGGGUGGCUGCAGUGAGGAAUAUUGCGCAAUGGGGGCAACCCUGACGCAGCAACGCCGCGUGGGUGAAGAAGGCCUUCGGGUUGUAAAACCCUUUUCUGGGGGAAGAGCGAGGACGGUACCCCAGGAAUAAGUCCCGGCUAACUACGUGCCAGCAGCCGCGGUAAAACGUAGGGGGCAAGCGUUAUCCGGAUUUACUGGGCGUAAAGCGCGUGCAGGCGGCUUGGUAGGUUGGACGUGAAAGCUCCUGGCUCAACUGGGAGAGGCCGUUCAAUACCGCCGGGCUUGAGGGCGGAAGAGGGGAGUGGAAUUCCCGGUGUAGUGGUGGAAUGCGUAGAGAUCGGGAGGAACACCUGUGGCGAAGGCGGCUCCCUGGUCCGCACCUGACGCUCAAGCGCGAAAGCGUGGGGAGCGAACGGGAUUAGAUACCCCGGUAGUCCACGCUGUAAACGAUGGAUGCUAGGUGUGGGUGGUAUUGACCCCAUCCGUGCCGUAGCUAACGCGUUAAGCAUCCCGCCUGGGGACUACGGCCGCAAGGCUA